UGGCGGACGGGUGAGUAAUGUCUGGGGAACUGCCUGAUGGAGGGGGAUAACUACUGGAAACGGUAGCUAAUACCGCAUAACGUCGCAAGACCAAAGAGGGGGACCUUGGGCCUCUUGCCAUCGGAUGUGCCCAGAUGGGAUUAGCUAGUAGGUGGGGUAAAGGCUCACCUAGGCGACGAUCCCUAGCUGGUCUGAGAGGAUGACCAGCCACACUGGAACUGAGACACGGUCCAG
rnacentral:rRNA from 1 species